GUGGGGAAUAUUGGACAAUGGGCGAAAGCCUGAUCCAGCCAUGCCGCGUGUGUGAAGAAGGUCUUCGGAUUGUAAAGCACUUUAAGUUGGGAGGAAGGGCAGUAAGUUAAUACCUUGCUGUUUUGACGUUACCGACAGAAUAAGCACCGGCUAACUUCGUGCCAGCAGCCGCGGUAAUACGAAGGGUGCAAGCGUUAAUCGGAAUUACUGGGCGUAAAGCGCGCGUAGGUGGUUUUGUAAGUAGGAAGUGAAAUCCCCGGGCUCAACCUGGGAACUGCUUUCAAAACUGCUGAGCUAGAGUACGGUAGAGGGUGGUGGAAUUUCCUGUGUAGCGGUGAAAUGCGUAGAUAUAGGAAGGAACACCAGUGGCGAAGGCGACCACCUGGACUGAUACUGACACUGAGGUGCGAAAGCGUGGGGAGCAAACAGGAUUAGAUACCCUAGUAGUCC
rnacentral:rRNA from 1 species